rnacentral:tRNA from 1 species
GCUGGCGUAGCACAGUCGGUAGUGCAGCUGAUUCGUAAUCAGCAGGUCGUGGGUUCGAUUCCCAUCGCCAGCUCCA